GUUCUAGUGCAGACAUGAGUGAAAUGGUCUCCAUUUCUAAAUCAACAGCCUGCCACCACCUUCUGCAGUGGCUGAAUUUCCUGGGUGGUCUUUAAGAAUUGCCCCAGGAGGUAGGCAUGUCAUAGUCUAAUCCGGAUGUUACAAAGGGCACACACAUGCGAAGAGAAUAUUUUCAUGCCGAAGGACAACUGCACCUUCUCUAUCAGGAACACACAGGGGCGGCUGUUUGGGCUUUGAAGAGCAUUAUCAGUGAAGUCAAGUCACACAUUUCUCAAUGCCAGUGGGCAAACAGGGGAAGAAUGAAAGCCAGAGCCUGUAAAAGGAAUCGCUGGACGGCUCGAGGAGUGUAUAAAAUAUGCUCUAGAAUUUUCAGCCUCCUGCAGUGCAAGUGAUUAGCUAAAGAAACACUUUGAACCUGUUAGUUGUACAUCUUUUAAACCAUUUUAAAUUAUGGAAAAGACAGUGCUCAAGAAAUUAAUUAAAGUUUUGGACAAUAAUGCAAUCAGGGAUAUCUGUGUUUGCAGUCUUUUCUCUCUGCUUGCAUACAUCUUUCUCUGUCAAGUACAUCAAACAGCUAAUUAGCCCCAUUUUAAGAGCUUCACUGCUCACAUCACUUAAAAGGAUCUCCAGGCUGCCUUCUUAGAGAAUUCACGCUUACUGUGCAUUGGUUUCCUGAAUGCUUCAUAGACUUGGAAAGAAUCUAUUCCCACACAUUGGAGGAACUUUAGAAGUAGAUGGACUUUUUAUUUCCACAAAUCAAUUUCGCUUGUUUUCUCACUCAUGGUCAACAUUUUAUAAAUACUCUUGUAAGGGUUGAUAAACCUAUUUCACCUGGUAUGUGCUUGUUUUAGUUAAAUACCCUUGGGUUUGCUGAAGACAUCUGAAAAACAUUAGAAUGACUGCUUUUUAUUAAGACAUGUGGUACCAGAAAAAAAUUACGAGAGACGAAACUGUUGCUUUCAUUUAGGAUAAAGCGUUACCAUGACAAAAGUUGGGUGUUUCAAAUACCCAUUUUAGAAAUAACUACAGGUCACAUGAUCUACAGAUAUCACAGGUUAGCACAUGUUAAAAGUUAUAACCAUAACUAGAGACAGAAUUUCUGACUCACAGCUUCCAUUAAUCUGAACUAUCACAUGUCAUCUCAAGUUGACUAUAAAAAUAACUCAAGACGCCAGAGUGCUUCAAUUAACAGCUGAAAUAUUGUGAUAUUUUAACACAGGUGAUAUAAAGAAUCAGAGCCAUGAAUAGAUACAUGGCUAUGAGUUAUAGCUGUUUCCUUGCAGGUUUAACGUGGAGGGCAAAUGCAGAGAACGCUUUCCCUACUCAUAUGCCCAUCAAGCGGGAUACGUGCGGUUGGUUGAGGGAGGAGUGGAGGUGGAUUACACGUCUAUGGUUUCUUGAUCAUCUAAAAAUAUGUAUGAAUAUGACCUGAGGCAAGAAAGGUGGCAGGUAGUUCAAGAACACCCAAGAUGUUUGAAAGAGAGACUCUGGUAUCUUGAGCAGAACAAGGUACCCAGAGGAACCAAGUAAACCCUUGUAAAAUAAGAACAACUGUAUUAGGAGACAUCCAUGGUGAACUUGGUAUGGUUUAAGCAUGAUUUUAGAUGUUGUAUUUACAUCUUUUUUACAGUUUUAUUGAAACAGAAUUGACAUACUGCACUGUAUUAGGUUGAACGGUACAGCAUGAUGAUUCAAAAAUUCUAAUACAUUAAUUCAUUGAAUCUUUACAACCACCUUUUGAGGUCAGUACCAUUAUUAUAUAUUAUCAUAAAUUUACCUAUGUAGACACUGAGCUGUAGAGAGUUUAAAUAACUUGUUCAAGGUCACAUAUCCACUAAAUGGUGGAUUUAAUUUUGACCCCAGGCAAUUGGGCUCUGGAAUGCUGCAUUCCUAAAAUCCUGAAGAAAGAAUAAAAGGAAGAAAUAAGAUGGGGAUGGGAAGAAGGGAGAGAAGAAAGAUAGAAGCUAGGAAAUAGCUAUUUGUUUAGGUGACACCUAAUACUACAAUUUUAAUGGAAGGUCAGAAUGUUUAAGGAGUAAAGGAAGGAAUGGUGGGAAGAAGAUUUCCCUGAGGAGUAUGAUAUUUGACCUAUGCUUUUGAAGUGAAUCAUGCUGGAUUUAAGACUUUUUUGCCUUAAAAUUUCAUUAAAACUUAACCCCUAACUAGUAUUAAUGCUUACUAAAGUAUAUUUUCAGACCAAGCAGAAAAUGAUUUCAACAAAAACAAAUAUUAUGGUUUCAAAGGAGAGGGAAUGAAAGCCAGGUUGAUACAUGAACUAUCCAAAUAAAGUGAAGAAAAAUAAAAACACAUGAACACUUAAAGUUUUACUCUUAUUUUACUAGGAGCAUGUUCCUAAGUCCCUAUAUUUCAAAAUUAUGCAGUCAAGACUUGAAGGUUGGCCUCAUGCAGUGUGCCUGAGAAGACCAAUAAAUAAAAAGCCAACUUCAAUGCUUAGCAAUAACACAAAAACAAAAUAUUUGUAGGGUGGUAGUUUACAGAAUGUGGACCUAUGUUUUACUGUGUUCUCUUUGGCUAAAUAAAGUUGUGAGAAACGAGUUUCCACUCCAUCUGGUUUUAGUGCUCUGAACUGGAGGUGUCUGAGCCUUGGGAUGUCUAAGCAAUGCAUAGUCAAAUAAGGGAUUUAGGGAUAGUUUGGGCUAGAGGCUACAUUAACUGUCAUUUAAUGCAACCAUCUGACUUCACGUAUUUAUUUUCUAGGUAAUUUAAAAAAUUUUUUUAAUUUUUAAAUUAAAUAUGUUUAUUCUACAAUGUUAUAUUAGUUUCAGGUGUAUAGCAAAGUGAUUCAGUUAUACAUAUACACAUAGCUAUUCUUUUUAAGGUUCUUUUCCAUUAUAGGUUAUUACAAGAUACCGAGUAUAGCUCCUUGUACUAUACAGUAGGUCCUUGUUGUUUAUCUGUUUUAUAUAUACUACCUGUAUCUUCUGAUUCCAAACUCCUAAUUUAUCCCUCCCCUAACCCCUUACACCUUUGGUAACCACAAGUUUGUUUUCUAUGUCUGUGAAUCUGUUU
rnacentral:lncRNA from 1 species